AACGCACAUUGCGCCCGCUGGUAUUCCGGCGGGCAUGCCUGUUCGAGCGUCAUUUCAACCCUCAAACCCCCGGGUUUGGUGUUGGGGAUCGGAUUCUCUCUGAGGAUCCGCCCCCUAAAUCUAUUGGCGGUCUCGCUGCAGCCUCCAUUGCGUAGUAGCUAACACCUCGCAACUGGAACGCGGCGCGGCCAUGCCGUAAAACCCCAACUUCUGAAUGUUGACCUCGGAUCAGGUAGGAAUACCCGCUGAACUUAA
rnacentral:misc_RNA from 1 species